rnacentral:lncRNA from 1 species
AAAGCAUUAGGUGCAUCAUUCGCAUGGAUGGUUAGAUGUGUCUGCUGUUGCUGAUCAAUCUAAUGGAGGCAGAAUGAAGAUGAUCACAUAAUUUUCCAAGUUAUAUAUUACCCCGAGAAUAAGUAAUUUAUGCUGUAUGUUUGAUGACUUGCUGCGAAUGGCUUUCAAAGAGUUGUGUUUUCUACAUAUUUCUUACAGUCCCUUUUUAUUUUUGUUUUUCUGUUUGAUGACUUGCUGCAUAUGGCGUACAAAGAGGUGUGUUUUCUACCUAUUUCUUACUGUACUUCUUUUUGUAGCUUAUGUAAUAAAGAUUUUCGUGUAAAUCUUCUUUCUUAUACGCCGUUGCAGUGUUAAUGAUAUGGUAAUUACGCCAGUCGCUUUUGUCGGCUUCAAAUAGACUUCUCUGCCACCUUAAUGUAAUAACCUUUGCCAAAUCCCAUUGUUGGUGCUCGAAUGAUUUCCCCAGGCUUCACUUGAGACCAGCUUUAAAAAAAUUGAAAAAAAUCAAAAUAAAAAGGUUAAAUUCUUAAAUCUCUUGUGGUGCUCAAACAAUGACCGAUAAAUGAAAGCU